rnacentral:rRNA from 1 species
UGGCGAACGGGUGAGUAACACGUGGGCAAUCUGCCCUGCACUCUGGGACAAGCCCUGGAAACGGGGUCUAAUACCGGAUAUGACCACCGGCCGCAUGGUCUGGUGGUGGAAAGCUCCGGCGGUGCAGGAUGAGCCCGCGGCCUAUCAGCUUGUUGGUGGGGUGAUGGCCUACCAAGGCGACGACGGGUAGCCGGCCUGAGAGGGCGACCGGCCACACUGGGACUGAGACACGGCCCAGACUCCUACGGGAGGCAGCAGUGGGGAAUAUUGCACAAUGGGCGCAAGCCUGAUGCAGCGACGCCGCGUGAGGGAUGACGGCCUUCGGGUUGUAAACCUCUUUCAGCAGGGAAGAAGCGCGAGUGACGGUACCUGCAGAAGAAGCACCGGCUAACUACGUGCCAGCAGCCGCGGUAAUACGUAGGGUGCGAGCGUUGUCCGGAAUUAUUGGGCGUAAAGAGCUCGUAGGCGGCCUGUCGCGUCGGAUGUGAAAGCCCGGGGCUUAACCCCGGGUCUGCAUUCGAUACGGGCAGGCUAGAGUUCGGCAGGGGAGAUUGGAAUUCCUGGUGUAGCGGUGAAAUGCGCAGAUAUCAGGAGGAACACCGGUGGCGAAGGCGGAUCUCUGGGCCGAUACUGACGCUGAGGAGCGAAAGCGUGGGGAGCGAACAGGAUUAGAUACCCUGGUAGUCCACGCCGUAAACGUUGGGCACUAGGUGUGGGCGGCAUUCCACGUCGUCCGUGCCGCAGCUAACGCAUU